UACAGAGGGUGCGAGCGUUAAUCGGAAUUACUGGGCGUAAAGCGCGCGUAGACGGUUUUGUAAGUCAGAUGUGAAAUCCCUGGGCUCAACCUGGGAAUGCAUUUGAGACUGCAUGGCUAGAGUCCGGUAGGGGAGCAUGGAAUUCCUGGUGUAGCGGUGAAAUGCGCAGAUAUCAGGAGGAACACCAGUGGCGAAGGCGGUGCUCUGGGCCGGAACUGACGCUGAGGAGCGAAAGCGUGGGGAGCAAACAGG
rnacentral:rRNA from 1 species